CCUACGGGCGGCAGCAGUGAGGAAUAUUGGUCAAUGGACGAGAGUCUGAACCAGCCAAGUAGCGUGAAGGAUGACUGCCCUAUGGGUUGUCAACUUCUUUUAUAAAGGAAUAAAACGAGGCACGUGUGCCUUUUUGCAUGUACUUUAUGAAUAAGGAUCGGCUAACUCCGUGCCAGCAGCCGCGGUAAUACGGAGGAUCCGAGCGUUAUCCGGAUGUAUUGGGUUUAAAGGGAGCGUAGAUGGGUUGUUAAGUCAGUUGUGAAAGUUUGCGGCUCAACCGUAAAAUUGCAAUUGAUACUGGCAGUCUUGAGUACAGUUGAGGUAGGCGGAAUUCGUGGUGUAGCGGUGAAAUGCUUAGAUAUCACGAAGAACCCCGAUUGCGAAGGCAGCUUACUAAACUGUGACUGACAUUGAUGCUCGAAAGUGUGGGUAUCAAACAGGAUUAGAUACCCUUGUAGUC
rnacentral:rRNA from 1 species